rnacentral:lncRNA from 1 species
CAAAAAAAAAAAAAAAAACGAUCGGGAAUUUGAUCUUUAAUACGGAAUAGAAAUAGUUGGCACCAUAUUCCAUUUAGUCUGAAAAUACAUUUGAUACAAGAGAGCGCUUACAGAGGUUCGGAGUGCCAUUCCCUUUGACAGAAGCGGGGCAUUAGGAGAGAUUAAACGCUGUCUGUUUCCGGUAAAUUGGUAAGAAAAUACCUCAAUAAAUUACAAGUCGACAGAUGAUGGACAUAGAGUACAGUGCUAAAUCUCAAAUGCUAUUGGAAGAGGAACAUACUAUAUGGUAUGUAACGGCGGACAGUUAACCUAUCAAGUUUUCCUGGAUUUUGUACCAGAGCUUACCAGCAAGUAAUUGCCAAAGUCUCCAUUUAAGGUAGAGGAUGAAUAAGUUCAGACCCAAUGUUUUUAUCAAGGAGAACAUACGCCUCAACCGAGGAUCGAACACUUGACCCUAUGAUCCUGAGAUCUGCAUUCUACCUAUGUCAGCGGGCUGGAAAAGGAUACUUUCUCGCAACCUGAUCUCCUCAUUGAUUUGAUCUGUUUUGUUUACGUUUUCUGGAUUUUCCGCGAAGUACUGACUUAGAAACGGAUGUCCUUCAGAAACUCUUGAAUUCGAGCUUCUUCAUGGGUAUUCAUACAAGGAAGCCAUCCCAUUGACUUUUCAAAUGCCAGUGCGCCUUCCAAUAAGAACCUCCAUCAUUCACGUUUGAAAAUUUUGCAUAUGACAUUUUUAGUUGACUUAAAACCUAACGCAGCAAGGAAAAAAUCCUUUUAAGAUUAGUUUCUAAUAGUGGACAUGCCAUAGAUAUUUUAGGGAUACAUCUGUAGAAGUUAAACUUUAUAGAAACACCAAAACAAGUCAUGUUCUGUUGCGAUGUUCAAUCUUUAUUGCUGGUGAUAGACACGGGGUUACCAUUCAUGCUUGGAAGGAAAAUUUGGCGGAGCCACUGACCUUCCCGCAGCUACUGUAGACUGAAAGUUUCCCAACAAGAAUAAAUUUGACACACCAAACAAAAAUCAAACCGAAAGCGGAAAAUGAAAAAUGAUUAUAAAUUAAAUAUCUUAACUACUCUGAAACGGAUAUCCAUCUACCAUCAGAAGUUACAAAAUGUCGCCAUAUGACCUAGAUUUUGUCGUGUUUUGACUCUACACCAAAGAAAAACAAACAAACAAACGCAGAUUAACAAACAGAAAUGAAUCAAACUGGCAUAAAACAAAAUUUCUAUGUUUCACAAAAAACUUUUAACAGAAACUGAGAUUACAUUAAGUUUGAAUGACGUCUGAGAAAUACAAUUAAAUCACUUGUGCAAAUGAACUGCAGCUCUUUCAAUUACAAUAGAAAAUUGAAUCAAACAGUCCAUUUGCAGAAUUUGUUAUUACGAAGCGUUCGGCUGACGCAUUACCAUUUCUUCGUUGUAGUUGAAACAAUUUCAUUUUGCAGCAAAUUGACUCUGAUAUUCGAACAUUAUUCAAAAUAUUUAUGUUUAUAAAUAAGAUAGUGAACAGUUUUGAAAUGUUAAAUGUUGGUAGUUUAUACAUAUAAUUUUGUAUUGCUUUUAUUGUAGUA